rnacentral:rRNA from 1 species
AUUGAACGCUGGCGGCAUGCUUUACACAUGCAAGUCGAACGGUAACAGGCCGCAAGGUGCUGACGAGUGGCGAACGGGUGAGUAAUGCAUCGGAACGUGCCCAGUCGUGGGGGAUAACGCAGCGAAAGCUGCGCUAAUACCGCAUACGAUCUAUGGAUGAAAGCGGGGGACCGUAAGGCCUCGCGCGAUUGGAGCGGCCGAUGUCAGAUUAGGUAGUUGGUGGGGUAAAGGCUCACCAAGCCAACGAUCUGUAGCUGGUCUGAGAGGACGACCAGCCACACUGGGACUGAGACACGGCCCAGACUCCUACGGGAGGCAGCAGUGGGGAAUUUUGGACAAUGGGCGCAAGCCUGAUCCAGCAAUGCCGCGUGCAGGAAGAAGGCCUUCGGGUUGUAAACUGCUUUUGUACGGAACGAAACGGCUCUCACUAAUACUGGGGGCUAAUGACGGUACCUGAAGAGUAAGCACCGGCUAACUACGUGCCAGCCGCCGCCGUAAGAC